rnacentral:rRNA from 1 species
UACGUAGGGGGCUAGCGUUGUCCGGAUUUAUUGGGCGUAAAGAGCGCGUAGGCGGCCGGGUAAGUCCGACGUGAAAUCUGGAGGCUCAACCUCCAGCGGUCGUUGGAAACUACUCGGCUAGAGUCCGGAAGAGGAGAGUGGAAUUCCUGGUGUAGCGGUGAAAUGCGCAGAUAUCAGGAAGAACACCGAUGGCGAAAGCAGCUCUCUGGGACGGUACUGACGCUGAGGCGCGAAAGCGUGGGGAGCGAACAGG